AAUUCGCGGAGGGCGAUGAGAUAAUGCAUACGGCGACAGUACCCGUCUUGCAACCUCACCGCCAGGAACGCUCGAAGGAUUCAACCUCCUUGCUGUCCACGCCCUGCGAAUACUGGGUUCGUGCGUGAAGGGUUCAGAAGCAAUAAAGAACAUGUUUGUGCAUUAUGAUACACCUGUGCCGGUGACACCGUGCAUCAUGUUCACUGGGAGCAGCAUUGAAGAAGCGGAGCAUAUGGACCUCUAUGUCGGCGAGUAGCGCCUUCUCAGAACCAUCGACCUUGAAGAGGGCUUGGCUGCCAUUCUUGCAGCUAUUGGUUAAUUCAUAUUGUCUACAGUGCAAAGCCGCACCGUACAUUUUGAAGCCUGGAAGAGCGGUGCCUGAAAGUGAGUGACUCUCGUGUAAGAAGCCCCGUGGAUCAUUUUUUUCAACAGUUACGGAAAAGAGCUUGUGGAUGCUUCGAACAUCUAAAACAUUUGCUACUUUAACUGACUUGUAGUGAGCCCUGCAUCCCCCCCUCCCCCGCCCACCUCCCAAA